rnacentral:rRNA from 1 species
AAUGAACGCUGGCGGUAGGCCUAACACAUGCAAGUCGAACGGCAGCACAGUAAGAGCUUGCUCUUACGGGUGGCGAGUGGCGGACGGGUGAGGAAUACAUCGGAAUCUACUUUUUCGUGGGGGAUAACGUAGGGAAACUUACGCUAAUACCGCAUACGACCUACGGGUGAAAGCAGGGGAUCUUCGGACCUUGCGCGAUUGAAUGAGCCGAUGUCGGAUUAGCUAGUUGGCGGGGUAAAGGCCCACCAAGGCGACGAUCCGUAGCUGGUCUGAGAGGAUGAUCAGCCACACUGGAACUGAGACACGGUCCAGACUCCUACGGGAGGCAGCAGUGGGGAAUAUUGGACAAUGGGCGCAAGCCUGAUCCAGCCAUACCGCGUGGGUGAAGAAGGCCUUCGGGUUGUAAAGCCCUUUUGUUGGGAAAGAAAAGCAGCAGGUUAAUACCACGCUGUUCUGACGGUACCCAAAGAAUAAGCACCGGCUAACUUCGUG